rnacentral:piRNA from 1 species
UAGUAUACUCAUGAGGUUUGAAAUAGAUA